rnacentral:rRNA from 1 species
CCGGCGACCGGCGCACGGGUGAGUAACACGUAUGCAACCUGCCCUCCGCAGGGGGAUAACCCGGAGAAAUCCGGACUAAUACCGCGUGGUACAUCUGUGGGGCAUCCCACGGGUGUUAAAAGGAAGCGAUUCCGGCGGAGGAUGGGCAUGCGGCGCAUUAGCUAGUUGGCGGGGUAACGGCCCACCAAGGCGACGAUGCGUAGGGGUUCUGAGAGGAAGGCCCCCCACACUGGUACUGAGACACGGACCAGACUCCUACGGGAGGCAGCAG